UACGUAGGGUGCGAGCGUUGUCCGGAAUUACUGGGCGUAAAGCGUGCGCAGGCGGUUAUGUAAGACAGAUGUGAAAUGCCCGGGCUUAACCUGGGAACUGCAUUUGUGACUGCAUGGCUAGAGUUUGGCAGAGGGGGGUAGAAUUCCACGUGUAGCAGUGAAAUGCGUAGAUAUCGGGAGGAACACCUGUGGCGAAGGCGGCCCCCUGGUUGGAUACUGACGCUGAUACGCGAAAGCGUGGGGAGCAAACAGG
rnacentral:rRNA from 1 species